rnacentral:rRNA from 1 species
GACGAACGCUGGCGGCGUGCUUAACACAUGCAAGUCGAACGGAAAGGCCCUGCUUUUGUGGGGUGCUUGAGUGGCGAACGGGUGAGUAACACGUGAGUAACCUGCCCUUGACUUUGGGAUAACUUCAGGAAACUGGGGCUAAUACCGGAUAGGAGCUCCUGCUGCAUGGUGGGGGUUGGAAAGUUUCGGCGGUUGGGGAUGGACUCGCGGCUUAUCAGCUUGUUGGUGGGGUAGUGGCUUACCAAGGCUUUGACGGGUAGCCGGCCUGAGAGGGUGACCGGCCACAUUGGGACUGAGAUACGGCCCAGACUCCUACGGGAGGCAGCAGUGGGGAAUGUUGCACAAUGGGCGGAAGCCUGAUGCAGCAACGCCGCGCGCGGGAUGACGGCCUUCGGGUUGUAAACCGCUUUCGCCUGUGACGAAGCGUGAGUGACGGUAAUGGGCAAAGAAGCACCGGCUAACUACGUG